GACGAACGCUGGCGGCGUGCUUAACACAUGCAAGUCGAACGGAAAGGCCCUGCUUUUGUGGGGUGCUCGAUUGGCGAACGGGUGAGUAACACGCGAGUAACCUGCCCCUGACUUUGGGAUAACUUCAGGAAACUGGGGCUAAUACCGGAUAGGAGCUCUUGCUGCAUGGUGGGGGUUGGAAAGUUUCGGCGGUUGGGGAUGGACUCGCGGCUUAUGAGCUUGUUGGUGGGGUAGUUGCUGACGAAGGGUUUGACGGGUAGCCGGCCUGAGAGGGUGACCGGCCACAUUGGGACUGAGGGACGGCGCAGACGCGAACGGGAGGCAACAGUGGAGAGUAUUACGCAAUAGGCGGAAGCCUGAUACGGCGACGCCGGGUGCGGGAUAACGGCCUUCGGGUGAUAAACCGAUUUCGACUGUGACAAGGCGUGAGUGACGGUAAUGAGUAAAGAAGCACCGGCUAACUACGUG
rnacentral:rRNA from 1 species